AUUGAACGCUGGCGGCAUGCUUUACACAUGCAAGUCGAACGGCAGCGCGGGCUUCGGCCUGGCGGCGAGUGGCGCACGGGUGAGUAAUACAUCGGAACGUGCCCAGUAGUGGGGGAUAGCCCGGCGAGAGCCGGAUUAAUACCACAUACUACCUGAGGGUGAAAGCGGGGGAGCGAAAGGCCUCGCGCUAUGUGAGCGGCCGAUGUCGGAUUAGCUAGUUGGUGGGGUAAAGGCUUACCAAGGCGACGAUCCGUAGCUGGUCUGAGAGGACGACCAGCCACACUGGGACUGAGACACGGCCCAGACUCCUACGGGAGGCAGCAGUGGGGAAUUUUGGACAAUGGGGGCAAACCUGAUCCAGCCAUGCCGCGUGCGGGAAGAAGGCCUUCGGGUUGUAAACCGCUUUUGUUCGGGAAGAAAUCCUCUGGGCUAAUACCCCGGGGGGAUGACGGUACCGGAAGAAUAAGCACCGGCUAACUACGUG
rnacentral:rRNA from 1 species